AGGGCUAACGGUGGAUACCUAGGCACACGGAAGCGAAGAAGGACGUAGUUACCGACGAAACGCUUCGGGGAGCGGGAAGCAAGCAUUGAUCCGAAGAUAUCCGAAUGGGGCAACCCUAAACACGACCACCUGAAUACAUAGGGUGGAGCGAGCAAACCUGGUGAACUGAAACAUCUUAGUAGCCAGAGGAAAAGAAAGCAACAGCGAUUCCCCCAGUAGCGGCGAGCGAAAAGGGAACAGCCUAAACCAAGUUCUUCGGAACUUGGGGUCGUGGGACAGUAACAAAAGACUGGGAAAUUUAGACGAAGCGGCUGAAAACCGCACCAGAGAAGGUGAAAGUCCUGUAGUCGAAAAAGGAACCAGCUUAACUGCAUCCCGAGUAGCAUGGGGCACGUGAAAUCCCGUGUGAAUCUGCCUCGACCACGAGGUAAGGCUAAAUAUUCCCGUGUGACCGAUAGAGAAACAGUACCGCGAGGGAAAGGUGAAAAGAACCCCGGAAGGGGAGUGAAAUAGAACAUGAAACCGUUAGCCUACAAGCAAUGGGAGGACGAUUGAACGUCUGACCGUGUGCCUGUUGAAGAAUGAGCCGGCGACUUACAGGUUAUGGCAGGUGAAGGGGGAAGACCCCACAGCCCCAGCGAAAGCGAGUCUGAAUAGGGCGAAAAGUCAUAAUUUGUAGACCCGAACCCGGGUGAUCUAACCAUGGCCAGGAUGAAGCUUGGGUAAAACCAAGUGGAGGUCCGAACCGACUAAUGUUGAAAAAUUAGCGGAUGAGCUGUGGUUAGGGGUGAAAUGCCAAUCGAACUCGGAGCUAGCUGGUUCUCCCCGAAAUGUGUUGAGGCGCAGCGGUAGUGGAAGUUUAGUCGGGGUAAAGCACUGUUUCGCCGCGGGCUGGGAGACCGGUACCAAGGCGAGGCAAACUCUGAAUACGGCUAAAAAAACUAGGUUCUUCGGUUUGUCUUAUGCAAUAGACGGGAGUUAUAAGGGAUGGAACCCUUAUAGAGAAAGACAUUGGGCGAUUUUUGUCAAUUGUUUUUUAUCUAAAGCGAACUAAUCAAUUAAAUCCCUUACCAGAUAAAGAUUUUGUUGAUUUAUGCCCCCCUAUCGAACCAUAACAAGUAACGAAGAGCCAAAAACUACCAGUGAGACGGUGGGGGAUAAGCUUCAUCGUCAAGAGGGAAACAGCCCAGACCACCAGCUAAGGUCCCCAAAUGAUAACUAAGUGAGAAAGGAGGUGGGAGUGCAUUGACAACCAGGAGGUUUGCCUAGAAGCAGCAAUCCUUAAAAGAGUGCGUAAUAGCUCACUGGUCAAGCGCUCCUGCGCCGAAAAUGAACGGGGCUAAGUUAUCUACCGAAGCUGUGGACUACAUUGUAGUGGUAGGGGAGCGUUCUAUAGGGGGUGAAGCAGUAGCGGCAAGCAGCUGUGGACUCUAUAGAAGUGAGAAUGUCGGCUUAAGUAGCGAAAAUGUGGGUGAGAAUCCCACACCCCGAAACCCCAAGGUUUCCUCCGCAAGGCUCGUCCGCGGAGGGUCAGUCAGGACCUAAGGCGAGGCUGAAAAGCGUAGUCGAUGGACAACGGGUUAACAUUCCCGUACCGAUUAAUGAUUGUGCCGGAGAACGGAGAAGGUCAACGUCAGCUGGAUGUUGGUUACCAGUGCAAGCAGUCGAGGCGAUGAGAGGUGGAGAAAACACCAGGAGCUAAGACGCGAGUCCCACCUCCCACGGGAGGGAAGUGGCGCUGAUCAAGCUUCCUAGAAAAGCCCGAACCACGUUAAUCAUUAAUUGCCUGUACCCGAAACCGACACAGGUGGGGAAGUAGAGAAUACUAAGGGGCGCGAGAUAACUCUCUCUAAGGAACUCGGCAAAAUGACCCCGUAACUUCGGGAGAAGGGGUACCCUCGCAAGAGGGUCGCAGUGAAUAGGCCCAGGCGACUGUUUACCAAAAACACAGGUCUCCGCCAAGUCGUAAGACGCAGUAUGGAGGCUGACGCCUGCCCAGUGCCGGAAGGUUAAGGAAGUUGGUCAGGAGUAAUCUAAAGCUGACGACCGAAGCCCCGGUGAACGGCGGCCGUAACUAUAACGGUCCUAAGGUAGCGAAAUUCCUUGUCGGGUAAGUUCCGACCCGCACGAAAGGCGUAACGAUCUGGGCACUGUCUCGGAGAGAGACUCGGCGAAAUAGGAUUGUCUGUGAAGAUACGGACUACCUGCACCUGGACAGAAAGACCCUAUGAAGCUUUACUGUAGCCUGGAAUUGGCUUCGGGCUUCGCUUGCGCAGGAUAGGUGGGAAGCUUUGAAACUCUCCUCGUGGGGAGAGUGGAGCUAACGGUGAGAUACCACUCUGGCGAGGCUAGAAUUCUAACCCUGACCCCUAAUCGGGGCGGGAGACAGUUUCAGGUGGGCAGUUUGACUGGGGCGGUCGCCUCCUAAAAGGUAACGGAGGCGCGCAAAGGUUCCCUCAGUCCCGUUGGAAAUGGGACGAUAGAGUGCAAAAGCAGAAGGGAGCUUGACUGUGAGACCCACAAGUCGAACAGGGACGAAAGUCGGCUUUAGUGAUCCGACGGCACCGCGUGGAAGGGCCGUCGCUCAACGGAUAAAAGUUACUCUAGGGAUAACAGGCUGAUCUCCCCCAAGAGUUCACAUCGACGGGGAGGUUUGGCACCUCGAUGUCGGCUCAUCGCAACCUGGGGCUGAAGUCGGUCCCAAGGGUUGGGCUGUUCGCCCAUUAAAGCGGUACGUGAGCUGGGUUCAGAACGUCGUGAGACAGUUCGGUCCAUAUCCGGUGUAGGCGUAAGAGCAUUGCGAGGAGCCUUCCUUAGUACGAGAGGACCGGGAAGGACGCACCGCUGGUGUACCUGUUAUCGUGCCAACGGUAAACGCAGGGUAGCCAUGUGCGGAGCGGAUAACCGCUGAAAGCAUCUAAGUGGGAAGCCCACCUCCAGAUGAUUGCUCUCAUGGCAUUAAGCCAGUAAGGUCUCGGGUAGACUACCCGUUGAUAGGCUCUAGAUGGAAGCUCGGUAACGAGUGCAGUCGAGGAGUACUAACCGACCGAGGGCUUGACCU
rnacentral:rRNA from 1 species